rnacentral:rRNA from 1 species
UCUGCCUAGUAGUGGGGGAUAACUUGCCGAAAGGUAAGCUAAUACCGCAUACGUCCUACGGGAGAAAGCAGGGGACCUUCGGGCCUUGCGCUAUUAGAUGAGCCUAGGUCGGAUUAGUUAGUUGGUGAGGUAAUGGCUCACCAAGACAGCGAUCCGUAACUGGUCUGAGAGGAUGAUCAGUCACACUGGAACUGAGACACGGUCCAGACUCCUACGGGAGGCAGCAGUGGGGAAUAUUGGACAAUGGGGGGAACCCUGAUCCAGCCAUGCCGCGUGUGUGAAGAAGGUCUUAGGAUUGUAAAGCACUUUAAGUUGGGAGGAAGGGCAGUUAACUAAUAUUUGACUGUUUUGACGUUACCGACAGAAUAAGCACCGGCUAACUUCGUGCCAGCAGCCGCGGUAAUACGAAGGGUGCAAGCGUUAAUCGGAAUUACUGGGCGUAAAGCGCGCGUAGGUGGUUCGUUAAGUUAGGAGUGAAAGCCCCGGGCUCAACCUGGGAAUUGCUUCUAAAACUGGCGGGCUAGAGUAUGGUAGAGGGUGGUGGAAUUUCCUGUGUAGCGGUGAAAUGCGUAGAUAUAGGAAGGAACAUCAGUGGCGAAGGCGACCACCUGGACUGAUACUGACACUGAGGUGCGAAAGCGUGGGGAUCAAACAGGAUUAAAUACCCUGGUAGUCCACGCCGUAACAAUGAGUGCUA